AGAGUCGUGUACUUGAUACUGGUGCACUAAGUGGGAGAUAAACUUCUUCUAAGGCUAAAUACAUGUAGGAAACCGAUAGCGAACAAGUACUGUGAAGGAAAGAUGAAAAGCACUUUGAAAAGAGAGUUAAAAGACUUGAAAUCGUUGAGGCGGAAGCGGUAGAAAUGAAUUCUACGAAGGUUCUCUGCGAAUGCUGCCUAAGUGCCACAGUCAUGGAAGCGGCAGAGUCGAGGACUUAGUGAGGCAAGAUGGAGUCGAGCGAUGUCAAAGGCGGUGCAGACCCUGGACGCUUGUCAUCCUGCGCUGGCCGGAUGUCGCUCGGCUUGAGGGGCUUUGUGCGAUCUUGCCAAAAUGGUUUUUACCGACCCGUCUUGAAACACGGACCAAGGAGUCUAAGACUAACGCGAGUAUGGUGGUGGAAAAACCAACAUGCGCAAUGAAAGUGAUUGAUGCCAAGGCAACAGCAGCAUCGACCGACCAUGAUCCACUGGUGAAAGGUUUGAGUAAGAGCGUUAUUCUUAGGACCCGAAAGAUGGUGAACUAUGCCUGUGUAGGGUGAAGUCAGGGGAAACUCUGAUGGAAGCUCGUAGCGAUACUAACGUGCAAAUUGUUCGUCGAACAUGGGUAUAGGGGCGAAAGACUAAUCGAACCAUCUAGUAGCUGGUUCCCUCCGAAGCUUCCCUCAGGAUAGCUGGGACAAGUACGCAGUUUUAUUAGGUAAAGCGAAUGAUUAGAGGCCUCGGGGAUAAAAUGUCCUCGACCUAUUCUCAAACUUUAAAUUGGUAAGAACUCCGGCCUUUCUUAAUUGAGGCACGGAGGUUCAAUGCGUGUCCUUAGUGGGCCAUUUUUGGUAAGCAGAACUGGCGAUGAGGGUUGCUCCUAACGUGGGGUUAAGGUGCCAAACUACACGCUCAUCAGAAACUACAAAGGGUGUUAGUUCAUCCAGACAGCAGGACGGUGGCCAUGGAAGUCGGAACCCGCUAAGGAGUGUGUUACAACUCACCUGCCGAAUGAACUAGUCCCGAAAAUGGAUGGCGCUAAAGCGUGUGACCGAUACCCGACCAUUGGCGCGAGAGUGAUGCGCCAAUGAGUAGGAGGGCGUGAGCGUCGUAGCGAAGCCUUUGGCGUGAGCCUGGGUGGAACGGCGUUUAGUGCAGAUCUUGGUGGUAGUAGCAAUUAUUCAAAUGAGAAUUUUGAAGGCCGAAGUGGAGAAGGUUUCCGUGAGAACAGCAAUUGGUCACGGGUGACUCGAUCCUAAGACAUGGGGGAAAUCCUUGUUAAGUGUGCGCUAGCACGUUAGUCGAAAGGGAAUGAGGUUAAUAUUCCUCAAGCUGGAUGUGGGCGUUAAAUGGCAACAUAAACGAACCUCAGAACACCGGCAUGAGCCUCUGGAAGAGUUAUCUUUUCUUUUUAACAGACUAGCGUCCCUGAAAUUGGUUUAGCCAGAGAUAGGGGGGUAUGUCUGGAAGAGUACUUUGCUUUUCGAGGUAUCAGGUGCGCUCAUGACGGUCCAUGAAAACUGAGGUGAGAUAGCUUCACACCAGGUCGUACCCACAACCGCAUCAGGUCUCCAAGGUU
rnacentral:rRNA from 1 species